CCGGGACGCGGCCUAGUGGCGGACGGGUGAGUAACGCGUGGGCAAUCUGCCCCGUACCGGGGGAUAACACCUGGAAACAGGUGCUAACACCGCAUGACAGGCGGGGGCGCAUGCCCCGGCCUUGAAAACUCCGGUGGUACGGGAUGAGCCCGCGUCCGAUUAGCCAGUUGGCGGGGUAACGGCCCACCAAAGCGACGAUCGGUAGCCGGCCUGAGAGGGUGGAUGGCCACAUUGGGACUGAGACACGGCCCAAACUCCUACGGAAGGCAGCAG
rnacentral:rRNA from 1 species